CAGCAGCCGCGGUAAUACGUAGGUCCCGAGCGUUGUCCGGAUUUAUUGGGCGUAAAGCGAGCGCAGGCGGUUAGAUAAGUCUGAAGUUAAAGGCUGUGGCUUAACCAUAGUACGCUUUGGAAACUGUUUAACUUGAGUGCAAGAGGGGAGAGUGGAAUUCCAUGUGUAGCGGUGAAAUGCGUAGAUAUAUGGAGGAACACCGGUGGCGAAAGCGGCUCUCUGGCUUGUAACUGACGCUGAGGCUCGAAAGCGUGGGGAGCAAACAGAAUUAGAUACCCCAGUAGUCCCUGUCUCUUAUACA
rnacentral:rRNA from 1 species